GACGAACCGUACAAACGUUAUUCGGAAUCACUGGGCUUAAAGGGUGCGUAGGCGGCGCGGAAAGUAGGGUGUGAAAUCCCUCGGCUCAACCGAGGAAUUGCGCCCUAAACUACCGUGCUCGAGGGAGAUAGAGGUGAGCGGAACUUAGGGUGGAGCGGUGAAAUGCGUUGAUAUCCUAAGGAACACCGGUGGCGAAAGCGGCUCACUGGAUCUCUUCUGACGCUGAGGCACGAAAGCUAGGGGAGCAAACAGG
rnacentral:rRNA from 1 species